rnacentral:rRNA from 1 species
GUAGGGAAUAUUGGGCAAUGGAUGCAAGUCUGACCCAGCCAUCCCGCGUGCCGGAAGAAGGCCCUCAGGGUUGUAAACGGCUUUUGACGGUGAAGAAUCGACAGGAUGCGUCCUGUUUUGACGGUAGCCGUUGAAUAAGCACCGGCUAACUCCGUGCCAGCAGCCGCGGUAAUACGGAGGGUGCGAGCGUUGUCCGGAUUUAUUGGGUUUAAAGGGUGCGUAGGCUGGAAGGUCAGUCAGCGGUGAAAGGCUGUCGCUUAACGAUAGUCUUGCCGCAGAUACUUCCUUUCUUGGAUGAGGAGGAGGCCACUGGAACGGAUGGUGUAGCGGUGAAAUGCAUAGAUAUCAUCCAGAACACCGAUUGCGAAGGCAGGUGGCUGUACCUUAAUCGACGCUGAUGCACGAAAGCAUGGGGAGCAAACAGGAUUAGAAACCCGAGUAGUCC